AUGAAAAUGGAUCGGCGGAUGAUCAUCGUGUCGUCGAUCAUCGGUUCUCUCGGGGUGCUGAGCGCCAUCCUCGGGUUCUCAGCCGAGGGCACGAAGCUCACUGCUUGGACCGUGUACCAGUAUCGAGGUGUGUGCCUGUACCCGCAGAACCCCGCGCUGGGGCUCGGGGUCUGCGCGGCCAUCUUCCUCAUCAUAGGCCAGAUCAUCUUCGCGGUCGUCGGCGGCUGCUGCGGCUGCUGCAAGUCCCGCGCCAUCCCCUCCGAGACCAACCGGGUCAUUGGCAUCGUCUGCGCCGUCUUCUCAUGGAUCGCGGCGGUGGUCGCCUUCGGGCUGCUGGUGGAAGGCGCCAAGUGGAACGACACUGGGACGCGGUACUCGUCAGGGUACGGUGGGUGCUACGUCCUCAAGGACGGCAUCUUCGCCGGCGGCGCCGUGCUCACGCUCGUCGCCACUGCCCUCGGCCUCACCUCCUACAUCAUGCUCAGCACGCAGCCAGCCACUCCCGCUACUGCCAACGCCGCCGCCGCGCCCCCAAAGGAAGGCGAGCAGAUGCCGGCCGCCGCCGAGAUCCCGACGGCACAGCCACAGUUCCCGCAGCAGGCUUCUCCCCAGGGGCAGGGGUACGGCCAAGCGCCGAACGCGAAGCUCCCCCAUGUUCCUGUUCCUGUGGCUUCUCCGGCACAAGGCUAUGGAACGCCGAACGCGCAGUUGCCCCCUCUUCCUGCACAAGGCUACCGUGCGCACGCGCCGGACACGCAGAUGCCCGCCGCUUCUCCUCCUCCGGCUCAGGGCCAUGGACCGCACACGCCGAACGAGCAGGCCCUGCCUGAGCUGCCUCCCAAAGGACAUGAAAUGCUCGCGCGCCCCGUCUGA
rnacentral:rRNA from 1 species